UGUCUCCUCCCCGAACCUGUGUGUCUCUCCGUGUUCCCUCGGUCUUCUGUUAGCAUUCCCAGUUUAGUUCUGUUUCGUUGUAAGGCCUGCAAUAAAGCAGUGAUUUUGAGUUCAGUUCCUGUCUCCAGCUCCUGCCCGAGGCAACACAGAACACAAGCAGAUUACUGGGUGACAUUUUCACUCAAGAAGACAGGCACUGAUUAAAAAAGUGACUGGAUAAGUAGGGAGCAGGCAGGACACUUUGAAUUUCUGCUGAGGCCAUUAAAGGUUGACAAUGUCCUCAUCUGGAUACCGUGAAGGCUAACUGAAUGGUUUUUAAUAAAUCAUAAAUAUUAAGC